CGCCUAUUUUGCGAUGGCGGAGCUCGACCGCCGAGCGAAGUGAUGGUGUCGUUCAUCGACGCGCACCGCGUGGUGUACGGGGUCGAGCCGAUCUGCCGGGUACUGCCGAUCGCCCCC
rfam:Sphingomonas sp. WG contig_4, whole genome shotgun sequence.